AGCUUAGUUGGUAAAGCGCUCGUCUAGCAUACAAGAGUCCUGGGUUCAAAUCCCAG
rfam:Aedes aegypti strain Liverpool supercont1.530 genomic scaffold, whole genome shotgun sequence.